rnacentral:rRNA from 1 species
CUACAGGCUUAACACAUGCAAGUCGAGGGGCAGCAUGGUCUUAGCUUGCUAAGGCCGAUGGCGACCGGCGCACGGGUGAGUAACGCGUAUCCAACCUGCCUUACACUCUUGGACAGCCUUCUGAAAGGGAGAUUAAUACAAGAUGUUAUCAUGAGUAAGCAUUUUCGCAUGAUUAAAGGUUUACCGGUGUAAGAUGGGGAUGCGUUCCAUUAGAUAGUAGGCGGGGUAACGGCCCACCUAGUCUUCGAUGGAUAGGGGUUCUGAGAGGAAGGUCCCCCACAUUGGAACUGAGGCACGGUCCAAACUCCUACGGGAGGCAGCAGUGAGGAAUAUUGGUCAAUGGACGAGAGUCUGAACCAGCCAAGUAGCGUGAAGGAUGAAGGUUCUAUGGAUUGUAAACUUCUUUUAUACGGGAAUAAACGAAUCCACGUGUGGAUUUUUGCAUGUACCGUAUGAAUAAGGAUCGGCUAACUCCGUGCCAGCAGCCGCGGUAAUACGGAGGAUCCGAGCGUUAUCCGGAUUUAUUGGGUUUAAAGGGAGCGUAGAUGGGUUGUUAAGUCAGUUGUGAAAGUUUGCGGCUCAACCGUAAAAUUGCAAUUGAUACUGGCAGUCUUGAGUACAGUUGAGGUAGGCGGAAUUCGUGGUGUAGCGGUGAAAUGCUUAGAUAUCACGAAGAACUCCGAUUGCGAAGGCAGCUUACUAACCUGUAACUGACAUUGAUGCUCGAAAGUGUGGGUAUCAAACAGGAUUAGAUACCCUGGUAGUCCACACGGUAAACGAUGAAUACUCGCUGUAGGCGAUAUACAGUCUGCGGUCAAGCGAAAGCAUUAAGUAUUCCACCUGGGGAGUACGCCGGCAACGGUGAAACUCAAAGGAAUUGACGGGGGCCCGCACAAGCGGAGGAACAUGUGGUUUAAUUCGAUGAUACGCGAGGAACCUUACCCGGGCUUAAAUUGCAACCGAAUAUGGCGGAAACGCUAUAGCUAGCAAUAGCGGUUGUGAAGGUGCUGCAUGGUUGUCGUCAGCUCGUGCCGUGAGGUGUCGGCUUAAGUGCCACAACGAGCGCAACCCUUGCCGAUAGUUACUAACAGGUCAUGCUGAGGACUCUGUCGGGACUGCCAUCGUAAGAUGUGAGGAAGGUGGGGAUGACGUCAAAUCAGCACGGCCCUUACGUCCGGGGCUACACACGUGUUACAAUGGGGGGUACAGAGGGCUGCUACCACGCAAGUGGAUGCCAAUCCCAAAAACCUCUCUCAGUUCGGAUUGAAGUCUGCAACCCGACUUCAUGAAGCUGGAUUCGCUAGUAAUCGCGCAUCAGCCACGGCGCGGUGAAUACGUUCCCGGGCCUUGUACACACCGCCCGUCAAGCCAUGGGAGCCGGGGGUACCUGAAGUGCGUAACCGCAAGGAGCGCCCUAGGGUAAAACUGGUGACUGG